UUUUUGAGAAUCGGCUGGCAUCAGGGUGCUGACUGACAAACUUCCCGGGGUCUGGGCACUGUGGGGACGGAGCCUGCAGACGGCGGUGUCCCCGCUAGGAGAGCCGUGGGGACGUGAUUAACAUACAUAGAGUACAUAGAAGAGUGAGCUCUGAAAGAACUCUCACAUGGACCCCAGAAAGAGGAGUACUCAACGCCUGCUGCACAGAAGGCAUCAGCAGUUAAGUACUGGCUAGAAAAGCGGAGUCCAUCAAAGGAGAGGACCACAGUGGUAGCUGCCUGUUACAAGCUAUUGAGGCACUCCAGAGUGACGGCAUGUGAUCCCCCUGACACAAGAAACAGGCCCAGAUAACACACCGUUCAGACCGACAGCAGUUCUGGUUAUGCUGCAGUACAUCAGACGAGUGCUCUUAUCCAUCCACAGUUCUUAUCACAGUUACUUAUGCAUAUAUUCAUUUUUUAUAUAAAAGAAUCUUGAAUCGGUCACUUAAAUAUUGAAUCUCAAUAAUAAAAAAUACUAAAAGUAU
rnacentral:lncRNA from 1 species